rnacentral:lncRNA from 1 species
AAGCUACGAAAAGACGUCAGUGACUAUAAAAGUAGAAAAGCGAAAGGUAAGUAAAUAUGUAACCUACUACGACAUGAUAUCUCUACUUAGCAUAAAUAGCAUAAGUAUGAAAGCAACUAUCAUGAUGUUCACAAUGUGAAAUAGUAAAGUUCCGUUGUUUACUAUUCUAAUCAAUGUCCAAGUAGUAUACUAAAUCCUCAUCUGUCCACAUGUCAUAAUGGAUACACAAAGUCAAAUCUGAAGAGACCCACCCGAAGGCUGUCUAUGGCCCUGAGACCCACCCGUAGGCUGUCUGGCCGGUGCCGAGCCUAAUGGCCCCGUGGUAGUCAUCAUCCCCACCCUAGGAAUGAGCCUGUCCCACGGCAAUCCACUUCGGCGCCCAAUCCCGCACGGCGAAUAUGAAUCGCGAUGGCCAUCUCCGGAGUGCCGGCUUGUAGGGAGCGACCCUCACAAGCAUGUGCGAAUGAGCACAAUGGCAAGUAGUCAAACGAUCUGUCGCAAGUACCAAGUCCUCAUGUCUAAUAACAUGGAAUGUGUCAAGUAUCUCAAAGGCCUAUCCCUAUGUCAUCAUGUCUCUAACAUGGAAUAUAGCAGAUAUGUAGUGGCCUACCAAUAUGUCUCUAUGUUGCAGUUUCAUAGUUUACUAGUUUCAAGUGCCCCUUUAUGACACUCUGGUUCUCUAUGUCAAAACAUGGUAACUAUGUUCCAAAGUACAUAUUCCAAGUCAUAAUUCUCAUAAGAGAUGUAUUUUUCACUUGCAAAAUAAACACUUUUCCCGUAUGCAUGCAUUCUACUCAUAUAGCUCUACUAUAUAGUGAAAUUUUCAUAAUACACAAGGCAUGCAUUUUAAGUGCUCUAAAAUUCAUAUAAAUUCCAUUUAGCAUAGAAAUGAACUUAAAAAUAUUUUACAACAAGUAGAAAGAGCAUAGGGGCCAUUUCGCCCCAUUUCCACGAAGCCAAACCCACCGAUGACAACGAAACUCCUCGUGCGCUCCAACGAGGGUGUCCUCUAGUCUCCUAGUACCCUAGAGGUACAAGAACAUGAGUCAUACGAGCCGAACGAACAAUACCUAGCUCAAACAUUAAGCUAAUCAAUCAUAGGUGAGGAAAACUCACCUCUAGUGCAAAAAUCUCCUCUAAAGCUCCAAAAUGAAGCUAGGGCUCAUCCAAUCCAACCUAAUGGAAGCCUCUAAUCCACUCAAUCUAGCUUCAAAAGCCCUAGAUUCAAAAUGCCCAAAAUAAACCCUAAUAUCACAAUCUAGGGUUUCAUCUCAUGAAAUCCAAUAAAACUCAAAUCUAGAGGAAGAUAGUGUAAUGCUUACCUCUUAGAAGCUUCAAAUCAAGCUCUAAAUCCUUUAAAUCCCAAGAUCUAUCCUCCACUUAGCUCCAAAUCCAAGCUUGAGGCUUCAUCCAUGGUGGAAAUGGCACCAAAGGGCAAAAGAGAAGAAAAUCCAUCAAAAACCAAGCAAAAUGGAGAUCAAAAUCAAAUGGGACAAGGUGGAGCUUCACUCACCUUCCUCUCCUCUGGUUCCAGCACAAAAAAAGCCCUAAGGGGCGUGGGUGCUGUUAUAAAAAGCCCACAAUCGCGAAAAACCCCCUGCAGACCAAACUGCACGAAAUCUGCCUCCUUGUACCGGUACACGGGCUCUUGUACCGGUACAAGGCCGACG